AUUACCCUGCUGUGUUCGUGCUGACUAAUUAAGUUUUGAACCAACACUUAUAUAAAAGGGGUCGAGUUCUCAAUAUUAUACGUACGCCUGAGGUAGGUCUUCUUCAGCUUGAAGCAAGGCAAAUACCUAACGUUAACUAAUUUGGUUGAUGCGGAAACGUAAAACAUUUAGAUAGACACCCACCUGUUGGGGACAGGUAUCAAAACCUAAAGCACACGACAUAGCGGGGUUUUU
rnacentral:other from 1 species